rnacentral:lncRNA from 1 species
AGUCAGUGAUUCUUAAUCCUGGCUUCAUAUUCUAAUCAUUUCAGGAAGGAGCUUUCAAAGCAUCAGAUCCUGGGAUGUCACCCUUAGCCCUUGCUCCAGACCACACGGAUUCAACCUCUGGCCACACUCUCACUAGCGACAUGAUGGCCAUGAGGAGAGUGACACUUCGCUGCAGAUAACAUGCUGGUGGAUGAGUGAGUGGAUCCUUGUGUGACUGGAAUGGAUGUAUCAAAUGAGGAAACUGGAGCAUGAAAAUAUUAAGCAACUUUGCAC